UACAGAGGGGGCAAGCGUUGUUCGGAAUUAUUGGGCGUAAAGGGCGCGUAGGCGGCUUUGCAAGUGACGGGUGAAAUCCCUCGGCUUAACCGAGGAACUGCCUGUCAAACUGCAUGGCUUGAGACCGGGAGAGGUGAGUGGAAUUCCCAGUGUAGCGGUGAAAUGCGUAGAUAUUGGGAGGAACACCAGUGGCGAAGGCGGCUCACUGGACCGGUACUGACGCUGAUGCGCGAAAGCGUGGGGAGCAAACAGG
rnacentral:rRNA from 1 species